rnacentral:rRNA from 1 species
UACGAAGGGGGCUAGCGUUGCUCGGAAUCACUGGGCGUAAAGCGCACGUAGGCGGACUCUUAAGUCGGUGGUGAAAUCCUGGAGCUCAACUCCAGAACUGCCUUUGAUACUGGGGAUCUCGAGUCCGGGAGAGGUGAGUGGAACUCCGAGUGUAGAGGUGAAAUUCGUAGAUAUUCGGAAGAACACCAGUGGCGAAGGCGGCUCACUGGCCCGGUACUGGCGCUGAGGUGCGAAAGGCGUGGGGAGCAAACAGG